UCUUUUUUUUAUUGCGUCACGCGACGACGGGGUAUGGGCGAAGGCAUAUUUUAUUUUUAUUGUUUUUGACGUCGGUGGUCGUUUUAUUGUGAAAUCCGAGGGGUUGAAUCACAGAGGAUGGAGCUGGAGGGGAAGGCAUAAGGAGAAACGGGGUACAGAACAUGUCGGAUGGGAUCAUACCAGCACUAAAGCACCGGAUCCCAUCAGAACUCCGAAGUUAAGCGUGCUUGGGCGAGAGUAGUACUAGGAUGGGUGACCUCCUGGGAAGUCCUCGUGUUGCAUCCC
rnacentral:rRNA from 1 species